CGCAUGAUGGUGUGGGAAAGGGUUUACCGGCAUGGGAUGGGGUCGCGUCCUAUCAGCUUGUUGGCGGGGUGAUGGCCUGCCAAGGCUUCGACGGGUAGCCGGCCUGAGAGGGCGACCGGCCACAUUGGGACUGAGAUACGGCCCAGACUCCUACGGGAGGCAGCAGUGGGGAAUAUUGCACAAUGGGCGCAAGCCUGAUGCAGCGACGCCGCGUGCGGGAUGACGGCCUUCGGGUUGUAAACCGCUUUUGAUUGGGAGCAAGCGAGAGUGAGUGUACCUUUCGAAUAAGCACCGGCUAACUACGUGCCAGCAGCCGCGGUAAUACGUAGGGUGCAAGCGUUAUCCGGAUUUAUUGGGCGUAAAGAGCUCGUAGGCGGUUCGUCGCGUCUGGUGUGAAAGUCCAUCGCUUAACGGUGGAUCGGCGCCGGGUACGGGCGGACUGGAGUGCGGUAGGGGAGACUGGAAUUCCCGGCGUACGGUGGAAUGUGUAGAUAUCGGGAAGAACAC
rnacentral:rRNA from 1 species